GAUGAACGCUGGCGGCGUGCCUAAUACAUGCAAGUCGAGCGAACAGACGAGGAGCUUGCUCCUCUGACGUUAGCGGCGGACGGGUGAGUAACACGUGGAUAACCUACCUAUAAGACUGGGAUAACUUCGGGAAACCGGAGCUAAUACCGGAUAAUAUAUUGAACCGCAUGGUUCAAUAGUGAAAGACGGUUUUGCUGUCACUUAUAGAUGGAUCCGCGCCGCAUUAGCUAGUUGGUAAGGUAACGGCUUACCAAGGCGACGAUGCGUAGGCGACCUGAGAGGGUGAUCGGCCACACUGGAACUGAAACACGGUCCAGACUCCUACGGGAGGCAGCAGUAGGGAAUCUUCCGCAAUGGGCGAAAGCCUGACGGAGCAACGCCGCGUGAGUGAUGAAGGUCUUCGGAUCGUAAAACUCUGUUAUUAGGGAAGAACAAAUGUGUAAGUAACUAUGCACGUCUUGACGGUACCUAAUCAGAAAGCCACGGCUAACUACGUG
rnacentral:rRNA from 1 species